CCCCUCACAGGAUGACACCUGGAGGGUUUCCAGUAUUCUACCAGCCUCAGCUAUGGGAGGGAGAGUCAAGCAGAGGCCUACCCAUUUCAUUCCUAGCUUGGGCACUGGCUAGCGCAUGGAAGGCAAUCUGCUAGAAGU